rnacentral:rRNA from 1 species
GACAGAGGGUGCAAACGUUGCUCGGAAUUACUGGGCGUAAAGCGCGUGUAGGCGGACCACCAAGUCGGACGUGAAAGCCCUGAGCUCAACUCAGGAACUGCAUCCGAAACUGGCGGUCUGGAGUAGUGGAGAGGAAAGCAGAAUUCCUGGUGUAGAGGUGAAAUUCGUAGAUAUCAGGAGGAACACCGGUGGCGAAGGCGGCAUUCUGGACCGCACUUGAC